UGGGGAAUUUUGGACAAUGGGCGAAAGCCUGAUCCAGCAAUGCCGCGUGUGUGAAGAAGGCCUUCGGGUUGUAAAGCACUUUUGUCCGGAAAGAAAUCCUUGGCUCUAAUACAGUCGGGGGAUGACGGUACCGGAAGAAUAAGCACCGGCUAACUACGUGCCAGCAGCCGCGGUAAUACGUAGGGUGCAAGCGUUAAUCGGAAUUACUGGGCGUAAAGCGUGCGCAGGCGGUUUGCUAAGACCGAUGUGAAAUCCCCGGGCUCAACCUGGGAACUGCAUUGGUGACUGGCAGGCUAGAGUAUGGCAGAGGGGUAGAAUUCCACGUGUAGCAGUGAAAUGCGUAGAGAUGUGGAGGAAUACCGAUGGCGAAGGCAGCCCCCUGGGCCAAAUACUGACGCUCAUGCACGAAAAGCGUGGGGAGCAAAACAGGAUUAGAUACCCUGGUAGUCCACGCCCUAAAACGAUGUCAACUAGUUGUUGGGGAUUCAUUUCCUUAGUAACGUAGCUAACGCGUGAAGUUGACCGCCUGGGGAGUACGGUCGCAAAGAUUAAAACUCAAAGGAAUUGACGGGGUCAUAGCUGUUUCCU
rnacentral:rRNA from 1 species